CCUUAUUUGGCAGCAAGUUCCAAUUGGUCUAGAACAGCAUUUUAAUGGGGAUCAAAUGGAACAAGCUCAAACAAACAAACAUUAAGCUCUGAGUUAAUGAGCUUGGCUGCACGAUAUAAUAAACUGCACGAGGCUGCAGCACCCUUUGCUCUGUGUCGCGCAGUUGCAGUGAGACUGAGAGAGCAGUCUCUAUCACACCAAAGAACCCAAAUCUCUACCGCUGGACCUGGGGAAGUGGAGGCGUCAAGUGAUUUUGAAGGAUUGGACUUAGCUGAAAUGAAGACUUGAGCAAGAGGGAAUGGGAGUGGCUAACGAGAGUGAAGGCACCCUCAUCAAUGCUGCAAACCGAAACUUGUUCAUCUCCCCCAGCAGCGGACCUUACUGGGUGAGAUGAAGUGGUUGCUGAGUUUCUUUCAGGACUGAAAUAUCCAAAAUGAUUCAUCCAUGGUGAUCUCCUGCUUUUAUUACAGUGGAGGGAGAAUCAAAGAUAGUCCCUGCGCUAUUUUUACUUAUGACAGACAGCAUGUGGCAGUUCUUGCAGCCCAAUCAGGUUGCACAGGUGGACCAGCUCCUCCAGGAUGGCACAUCCCAAGAAGCUUUGCAGUAUCUCCCAGCACAGUCUCAGUAGCAUGGAGGAGAUACCAGGAGACUGGCAGUUACACAAGGAGAGCUGGACAGGGCUGUACAAGGGCAUCAACCCUGCAGCAGGACCGGUAUCUGCUCCUUUGUGUGAGGAGGAACAGGAAGAGCACUGCCAGAACCCUACAAAAUGACCCCCAGCAGGUUACUGAUGUGGAGCUUGAUGGUGGGUCAGUGAUGGUCUGGGGAGGCAUAUCCCUGGAGGCUUGCACAGACCUCUAUGUCAACCUCACCCUGCCUGCUGAUAGGUCCCGUGAUGAAAUCCUCACAGUGAUUGUUAGACCCUAUGCUGGUGCAGUGGGUUCUGGCUUCCUCCUGGUGCAGGACAAUGGACAACGCCCGGCAUCAAGUAGCAAGAGUGAUUAGGCACUUAAUGGAUGACUACGGCAUUGAUGCAAUUGCCUGGCACGCUGGUUCCCCUAACCUAAAUCCAACUGAGAAACUAUGGGAUGUUUUGUAUCUGUGCAUCCCUUUACAAGUCCCACCACAGACUUUCCAGGAGCUCACUGCAGCACACAGCAGUAAUAACAGCUUUACUAUUUGAGAUAUGAAUAAUAAUAUUGAUGAUGAUGAUGAAAGUAGGACUCAAGCAGGUUAACCAUCUAUAGGAACCUGCAAGCCAAGAGAGCACAUAGACUCCAGGGAAGAAGAUUCAUCAUGUCAAGUAUAGAAGUGCUAAGUAAAGGUAUAACUUAUUUCUGCAGUGUAGUUGGUAUGGGGUAUAGCUGACAUCUUCAUAGGUUUGAUGAAGAAAUUAUUGAACUUAGCUGCUGACAACUGCUUGGCUGGAUUUAGACUCAUAAUAUCUUGUUGAUGUUUAGGAAUAGAGGUUACUUCACUACAUUAAUAAGUUGAAAGGACUCACAGUUGACUUCUGGUUUCACACUGGAGCAGCGGCCUCCUGAAUGAAAACCCUGGGCUUGUUUAACCUACCUCCCUUCUAGGUUGCCACCUGACAACACACGUAAAUAUGUGUUUCAAUUAUCUGCUUUCAAUUCCAACCUAUAUUGAUGUUUUUCUGAUGAAGAUGGUCUCCACAAGAGACAGAAAACCUAUGACCAAGAUGUGGAUUGGUGUUCAGAUUCAUAUUCCUGUUUCCUGAUUUCUUUCUGUUACCCUUAGUAGUAAAUAACUGCCAUCUUCAUAAAGCUGGAAGGAAAUUGCAAUCGCAGAAAUAAAGCAGCAAUGACAACUGUUAUACCAAUGUAAACUUAACAGCUCCCAUUGCUUUUGGAUGACUAGAGAUGUGUGUUAGGGCUGUGUUAACAGCCUUGGCCAAUUUCAAUUUGUAUAAGAUCAAUACAGCUUUCACAUAGA